AAGUCAUAACAAGGUUACUGUAGGUGAACCUGCAGUAGGAUCAUUAUUGAAAAAUAGGGCUUUCCCAUUCUUUGGGGCCCGAACCUUCACAUAAUUUCCACACACUUGUGAAUCGUUGGAGCGUUUAUUGAAAAAGAGACGCUCUGGCACCCUUUACUUAUUACAAACACUGAGUUAAUGGAUGUAGUUGUAAACUUGUCUUUUGACAGAAACAAAAAUACAACUUUCGACAACGGAUCUCUUGGUUCUCC
rnacentral:misc_RNA from 1 species